CUAGCAUGUGCGCGAGUCAUUGGGACUCGAACGAAACCUAAAGGCGUAAUGAAAGUGAAGGUUCGCCUCGCGCGAACCGAGGGAGGAUGGUCGAUCGUUCGAGGUCGUCCCGCACUCCCUGGGCGUCUCGUUCUCAUCGCGAGAAGAGGCGCACCAAGAGCGUACACGCUGGGACCCGAAAGAUGGUGAACUAUGCCUGGUCAGGACGAAGUCAGGGGAAACCCUGAUGGAGGUCCGUAGCGAUUCUGACGUGCAAAUCGAUCGUCGGAACUGGGUAUAGGGGCGAAAGACUAAUCGAACCAUCUAGUAGCUGG
rnacentral:ncRNA from 1 species